UACGUAGGGUGCGAGCGUUAAUCGGAAUUACUGGGCGUAAAGGGUGCGCAGGCGGUUAUAUAAGACAGAUGUGAAAUCCCCGGGCUCAACCUGGGAACUGCGUUUGUGACUGUAUGACUAGAGUACGGUAGAGAAGGGUGGAAUUCCUGGUGUAGCAGUGAAAUGCGUAGAUAUCAGGAGGAACAUCGAUGGCGAAGGCAGCCCCUUGGACCUGUACUGACGCUCAUGCACGAAAGCGUGGGGAGCAAACAGG
rnacentral:rRNA from 1 species